GCAAAUACAAAUGUAUAUGCACUUCUUUUUUUUUUUUAUUACACAGACAGUUCUGUAUCCUGCCUUUUAAAACUUAUAUCCUUCUUAUCUUUCUGUAUCAGGGUAUAGUGAGUUCUUUCAUUCUUACUUAUAUGUUUUUCUAUUAUAAUGGAUAUAUUAUGUCUUAUUUAAUUAUUUCUCUCUUGAUGAACAGUUGGGAAAGUUCUCAUCUUUUGCUAUUACAAACCACAAUGCGAUGAAUAACAUUGCAUUUAUGUCAUUGUGUACAGGUGUGCGUAUAUUCUAGGAUAAAUUUCCAAAAGUAGAAUUGCUGAGUUACAGGGUAAAUGCAUUUCUGAUUUUGAUAGUGCUCAAAGGUCUGGGGGCACAUAGAGAUGGUGCUUUAGCAGUGAGCUUAGGCUGACAGCGGUUAAGAGAGACAUGCCUCAGGUUGCCAGUUAAAAAAAAAAUCUGCAUAAUGUGUUGCUUAAAGAAUGUGGUAGGGUGAAAGCUUGGAAAUACUGGUGUCAUUGGAAAGACAGAAAUAAGAUAGAGAUUGUGUUGGGAAGAGAACAUGGAAUUUCAAGUAAUUUCUGCCUGGGUUUGCAUCUUGACCCUGCCACUCCUGGCUAUAUGACCUUGGGCAGGUUGCUUCACAUCUCUGAGCUCAGUAUUCUCACCUGUAAAAUAAAGACCAUGAUAACUUCCAUUAUAGGCUGCUGGAGGAAGUAAAGAAGAAAAUAUAAACAGCAGUUAGCAUGAUGUCUGGCACAUGGUGUGCAUUCAGGAUAUAACUGGGGCCUUUGGGAACCAGGCAAUAUUCCAGACAAACAUGACAUCAGUAACAUCCAUAUGUCUGUGAUGGGGUAGGAGAGAAGACUACUUUUCAGGUGGGACAUUUUGAUUGGAGAGGGUCUCUGAUUCAGAGAGUGAGGAUUCAUUAUACAGCUGGUAAAGCACAAAAGAUGGGAGGAGAGGAUUAAUGAUCAUAGUGAAUUCAGGUGGCUGUGGCACAGCCAACCUACAUUGAUCCCCACUGUCGCUGGAGUGGCUGGGGCACACUGCUGAAAAGACUUACUCCUCUUGAACAUACUCCUUUGAGUCGUUUUUGUAUAUGUAAUUUUGCAUAUUUUUUUCUUUUUUUAUUAUUAUACUUAAGUUUUAGGGUACACGUACACAACAUGCAGGUUAGUUACGUAUGUAUACAUGUGCCAUGUUGGUGUGCUGCACCCAUUAACUCGUCAUUUAGCAUUAGGUAUACUUUUAAUCGUAGUGCCAUACAAUUGUAUUGCAUUUUCCAUUUAUAGCAUAUUAUAAUUAUUUUGACUUUUAUUAUGAAAUUUUCAAACAGAAAAGUAGAUAGUAUAAUAAAAUAAAAUAAAAAGUAUAUAUAUAACAAGUAUGUCGGCUGGGUGUGGUGGCUCAUGCCUUUAAUCCCAGCACUUUGGGAGGCUGAGGCAGGCAGAUCACUUGAGGUCAGGAGUUCGAGACCAGCCUGGCCAACAUGGUGAAACGCUAUCUCUACUAAAAAUAAAAAAAAUUAGCUGGGUUUGGUGGUGGGUGCCUGUAAUCCCAUCUACUCAAGAGGCUGAGGCAGGGGAAUCACUUGAACCUGGGAGGUGGAGGUUGCAGUGAGCCAAGAUCAUGCCACUGCACUCCAGCCUGGGCAACAGAGCAAGACUCCAUCUAAAACAAAAUUAUAUAUAUAACAAGUAUGUAAACAAAAUACAUAAGUAAAAGGUAGAAUAAAAAAAGAUAGCAUAAUACACACCCAUUUAUUUAUCGCUUAGAAUUAACACUAAUAUUUUCUUUGUGCAUUUUUUCUUAAGUGGUUCAAAAGGAAGUACAGACAUCAUGAUAUUAAACCCUAAAUCAGUGGCUCUCAACUGAGGGUGAUUUUGACCCAUGUCCUCCGCAAGAGGACUUUUGGCACUGUCUGGAGACAAUGUUGGUUGUCACAAAAGGAAGCAUGCCUGCAUCCCUGGUAGAGAUCAGGGAUGUUACUAAACAUGCUACAAUGCACAGGACUGCCCCCUCCAAAACAAAGAAUUACCUGGUUCUAAAUGCCAGUAGUGCUAAGGUUGAAAAUCUUUGGUCUAAAUGAUUAAGAAUGCGUUUCUUAAAAUGCAAAAUUUCACAUAACCGCAUAGCACCAUCACUUCUAACAAAGUGAAAAAUAACUCUUUAAAAUUGUCUAAUAACCGGUCCAUGUUUCUCCACCAUUCCACUAAAAUGUUUUUUACAGCUGGUUUUAGCAAACACUUUCCAUUUUAUUAGCACUGUUAAUAGAAUCUCAUUCUAAAUGACUACAGAAUAGUCUGUUCAAUGGAUUCCCUGAAAUUUAUUCAAAGGAUCUAUUUUUAGAUAUUAGUUUUGCUUCCAGGUUUUAGACAAAUUAUAUUUUUGUAAAUAAUGACAGUUUACUUCUUUUCUUACUUUGUGCCUUUUCUUUCUUUUAUUUGCCUUAUGUUCUGGCUAAAAACUUCAGUGAAUACUGAACACAGCGUAUGAGAGUGGGCAUCCUUUUGUUGUUCCAGAUUUUAGGAGUAAAAGAUUUAAUAUUUUAUUAAUUAUGAUAUUAACUGUAGGUUUUUAAAGAUGAACCUUAUCAUAUUGGAGAUGUUCCCAUCUAUUCCUAGUUUCACUGAGCGUUUUUAUCAUAAAGAACUAAUGAUUUCUGUCAAAUUUUUUUUCUGUGUAUUUUGAAAUGAUCAAAUGGUUUUCCCUCUUACUCUGUUAUAGUAUGAUGAAUUAUAUUGACUGAAUUUCAUUAAACCAACCUUGCUUUCUUGGAAUAAA